UAAUCCCUGCGGCUCUCGAAUCAAUACGCUUCUAGUUUAAACCAACAUGAAGACUACGGGAAACUAACUUCGGCUGUGGCGUGUAGGCCUCCCUUGCAGGAGGAAACCCAGGAGCAGACGAGUGUUGCCCACCUGCGAUUAGCAGGUUUAAAUCAAGCGUAAAAAACGGUUCAUGCGGGGCAAGC
rnacentral:other from 1 species